GACGAACGCUGGCGGCGUGCCUAACACAUGCAAGUCGAGCGAGUGAAUCUCCUUCGGGAGUGAAGCUAGCGGCGGACGGGUGAGUAACACGUGGGCAACCUGCCUCAUAGAGGGGAAUAGCCUUUUCGAAAGGAAGAUUAAUACCGCAUAAGAUUGUAGCUUCGCAUGAAGUAGCAAUUAAAGGAGCAAUCCGCUAUGAGAUGGGCCCGCGGCGCAUUAGCUAGUUGGUGAGGUAACGGCUCACCAAGGCGACGAUGCGUAGCCGACCUCGAGAGGGUGAUCGGCCACAUUGGGACUGAGACACGGCCCAGACUCCUACGGGAGGCAGCAGUGGGGAAUAUUGCACAAUGGGGGAAACCCUGAUGCAGCAACGCCGCGUGAGUGAUGACGG
rnacentral:rRNA from 1 species